rnacentral:rRNA from 1 species
AUUGAGCGCUGGCGGCAGGCUUAACACAUGCAAGUCGAACGGUAACAUAAAGAAGCUUGCUUCUUUGAUGACGAGUGGCGGACGGGUGAGUAAUGCUUGGGAAUCUAGCUUAUGGAGGGGGAUAACUACGGGAAACUGUAGCUAAUACCGCGUAGAAUCGAGAGAUGAAAGUGUGGGACCUUCGGGCCACAUGCCAUAGGAUGAGCCCAAGUGGGAUUAGGUAGUUGGUGAGGUAAAGGCUCACCAAGCCGACGAUCUCUAGCUGGUCUGAGAGGAUGACCAGCCACACUGGGACUGAGACACGGCCCAGACUCCUACGGGGGGCAGCAGUGGGGAAUAUUGCGCAAUGGGGGCAACCCUGACGCAGCCAUGCCGCGUGAAUGAAGAAGGCCUUCGGGUUGUAAAGUUCUUUCGGUAGCGAGGAAGGCAUUUAGUUUAAUAGACUAGGUGAUUGAC